GUUGAACGCUGGCGGCGUGCCUAAUACAUGCAAGUCGAGCGAACAGACGAGGAGCUUGCUCCUCUGAUGUUAGCGGCGGACGGGUUAGUAACACGUGGAUAACCUACCUAUGAGACUGGGAUAACCUCGUGAAACCGGACCUAAUAUCGGAUAAUAUAUUGAACGGCAUGGUUCACUAGUGAAAUACGGUUCUCCUGUCACGUAUAGAUGGAUCCGCGCCGCAUUAGCUAGUUGGUAAGGUAAAGGCUUACCAAGGCAACGAUGCGUAGCCGACCUGAGAGGGUGAUCGGCCACACUGGAACUGAGACACGGUCCAGACUCCUACGGGAGGCAGCAGUAGGGAAUCUGGCACAAUGGGCGAAAGCUUGACGGAGCAACGCCGCGUGAGUGAUGAAGGUCUUCGGAUCGUAAAACGCUGUUAUUAGGGAAGAACAGAUGUGUAAGUAUCUAUGCACGUAUUGACGGUACCUGAUCAGUAAGCCACGGCUAACUACGUG
rnacentral:rRNA from 1 species